GGCGAAGGCAUCGUGGGCUAGAGUUUGGACCGGAUUGAGAUCCAGGAGUCUUGGGGCGCGAUAGUGAGUGCUGAUCAGUCUUCCAUCAGGUCUCCAGAGUCGACUAGGUAGCUGUUUGGCAUUCGCAGCCGUGUGCUUCUCCUUCCUACCUUAUUCAGCUUUGUAUUAGCAUUUUGUUUCAGACUAUGUUGUCCUUUCUUAUUCCUAGACGAGUUGUAGUUGCUCAUGAUUGGUGACACCCCGAUGUCGGGCUGUGUUAUAUAUUUUCCGCAUUGUUUCCUUUAACUUAUACUAUUGGAUUUUAGCUAA